rnacentral:rRNA from 1 species
CUACGGGCCGCAGCAGUGGGGAAUAUUGGACAAUGGGGGAAACCCUGAUCCAGCAAUGCCGCGUGUGUGAAGAAGGCCUGCGGGUUGUAAAGCACUUUCGGUUGGGAGGACUGCUUCUAGCACUAAUAUUGUUGGAAGUUGACGUUACCUUCAGAAGAAGCACCGGGUAACUCCGUGCCAGCAGCCGCGGUAAUACGGAGGGUGCAAGCGUUAAUCGGAAUUACUGGGCGUAAAGCGCGCGUAGGCGGCUAAAUCAGUCGGGUGUGAAAGCCCCGGGCUUAACCUGGGAACUGCAUCCGAUACUGUCUAGCUUGAGUACAGGAGAGGAGAGUGGAAUUCCACAUGUAGCGGUGAAAUGCGUAGAUAUGUGGAGGAACACCAAUGGCGAAGGCAGCUCUCUGGCCUGAUACUGACGCUGAGGUGCGAAAGCGUGGGAGCAAACAGGAUUAGAUACCCGCGUAGUC